rnacentral:rRNA from 1 species
UAGGGAAUCUUCGGCAAUGGACGAAAGUCUGACCGAGCAACGCCGCGUGAGUGAAGAAGGUUUUCGGAUCGUAAAACUCUGUUGUUAGAGAAGAACAAGGACGUUAGUAACUGAACGUCCCCUGACGGUAUCUAACCAGAAAGCCACGGCUAACUACGUGCCAGCAGCCGCGGUAAUACGUAGGUGGCAAGCGUUGUCCGGAUUUAUUGGGCGUAAAGCGAGCGCAGGCGGUUUCUUAAGUCUGAUGUGAAAGCCCCCGGCUCAACCGGGGAGGGGCAUUGGAAACUGGGAGACUUGAGUGCAGAAGAGGAGGGUGGAAUUCCAUGUGUAGCGGUGAAAUGCGUAGAUAUAUGGAGGAACACCAGUGGCGAAGGCGGCUCUCUGGUCUGUAACUGACGCUGAGGCUAGAAAGCGUGGGGAGCAAACAGG